rnacentral:tRNA from 1 species
GCAGUUAUGGCCUAAUGGAUAGUAAAUUGGAAUUGUAAUCCAAAAGUUACAGGUUCAAUUCCUGGUCAUUGCA